AUACUUACCUGGCAGGGGAGAUAUCACCAUCAUGAAGGUGGCUUUCCCAAGACAAGGCUCACCCAUUGCACUCCAGAUGGGCUCACCCCUGUGAUUCCCCCGAGUGUGGGAAACUCUACCGCAUGAUUUGUGGUGGGGGGGGACUGCAUUCACGCUCUCCCCUG